rnacentral:rRNA from 1 species
CCUACGGGUGGCAGCAGUGGGGGAUAUUGCACAAUGGGGGAAACCCUGAUGCAGCGACGCCGCGUGUGGGAAGACGGUCUUCUGGAUUGUAAACCACUGUUCCCAGGGACGAAAAUGACGGUACCUGGGGAGGAAGCUCCGGCGAACUACGUGCUAGCAGCCGCGGGAAUACGUAGGGAGCAAGCGUUUGCCGGAAUUACUGGGUGUAAAGGGAGCGUAGGCGGCAAGGCAAGUCAGAAGUGAAAGGGCCGGGCUCAACCCUGUACAUGCUGUUGAAACUGUGGUGCUAGAGUGCAGGAGAGGUAAGUGGAAUUCCUGGUGUAGCGGUGAAAUGCGUAGAUAUUAGGAGGAACACCAGUGGCGAAGGCAGCUUACUGGACUGUAACUGACGUUGAGGCUCGAAAGCGUGGGGAGCAAACAGGAUUAGAUACCCCAGUAGUC